CACUCAUUCAAAGAGUGCGUAAUAGCUCACUGGUCGAGUGAUCCUGCGCCGAAGAUUUCCGGGGCUAAAACUUACUACCGAAGCUACGGCAUCAGUAAUGAUGGGUAGGGGAGCUUCCCAUACGGGUUGAAGCAUGACCGUAAGGACAUGUGGACAGUAUGGGGGUGAGAAUGUUGGCAUGAGUAGCGAGAUGUGGGUGAGAAUCCCACAGGCCGUAAACCCAAGGUUUCCAGGGGAAGGUUCGUCCACCCUGGGUUAGUCGGGACCUAAGCUGAGGCCGAAAGGCGUAGGUGAUGGACAACAGGUUGAUAUUCCUGUACUACCGAUAACCGUUUGAGAGAAGGGAUGACACAGUAGGAUAAGCUAAGCACACUGUUGGUUAUGUGUGCCCAAGCAUUGAGGCAGUCAAAGUAGGCAAAUCCGCUUUGAUAAUGCUGGGAUGUGAUGGGGAGCGAAAUUUAGUAGCGAAGUAGCUGAUUUCACACUGUCAAGAAAAGUCUCUAUCGAGGUUAAAGGUACCCGUACCGCAAACCGACACAGGUGGGUGAGGAGAGUAUCCUAAGGCCAGCGAGAGAACUGUUGUUAAGGAACUCGGCAAAAUGACCCCGUAACUUAGGGAUAAGGGGUGCCACCAUCAGGUGGCCGCAGAGAAUAGGCCCAAGCGACUGUUUACCAAAAACAUAGGUUUCUGCUAAGUCGCAAGACGAUGUAUAGGAGCUGACGCCUGCCCGGUGCUGGAAGGUUAAGGGGAUCUGUUAGAGCAAUCGAAGCAGUGAACUUAAGCCCCAGUAAACGGCGGCCGUAACUAUAACGGUCCUAAGGUAGCGAAAUUCCUUGUCGGGUAAGUUCCGACCCGCACGAACGGCGUAACGAUUUGGGCACUGGCUCAACAACAGACUCGUUGAAAUUGUAAUUCCGGUGAAGAUGCCGGAUACCUGCGACAGGACGGAAAGACCCCAUGGAGCUUUACUGUAGCUUGACAUUGGGUCUUGGUACUACAUGUACAGGAUAGGUGGGAGGCUUUGAAACCAGGACGCCAGUUUUGGCGGAGCCAUCCUUGGGAUACCACCCUUGUAGUACUGGGACUCUAACCAUAG
rnacentral:rRNA from 1 species